UACUGUGUGUGGCCCUAAAACAGCGACAGAUGCUUUUCUUCUUUCUCAUUGGAAUUAUUGAUGUGAUCCUCAAUGUGAACACUUCUCAGUGUUACUGCACACAUGAAGGAAGCAUUAGAUUACCCUCAUUGUGCAAAUCUUAUCAGAGAUGUAUUAAGGCAUACAUUCAGUACCAUCAACGCACGCUAUUGUUGUAGUGAGACGGGAGUCCAUGGGUGCUGCUAAUAGUGAUUGGUGCUGGCGACCAUGGAUUUUAUAACAGGAUCGAUAGACAGUCCAUGCACAUAGUGUGAGUUGGAUGUAACCGUAUCGUUAUGUGCAUCUCUUUCACUUGUGUCUGUCAUAUGAUGCAUUAUUCCCUGCAUCCCAUGGUUCUUCUUUUUCACCCACAUGUUUGCAUCGUGUGCCAGUUAAUGUGUGUGUAUGUGUUUAGCGUGUGCUUGCUUAAAUGACUCAUAUGUCAUUCGGUCGUGUCUUGUGUGUGAGAGACUGUACGAGUAUGUAUGUAUGUACUCACAAUAGCUGCAAACAGUGUUGUUUUUAUCUUUUUAAAUUGUUGCCUUUUCCUGAUGCCCAUUUGUUUUGUUUUUUCCAUGUUGUCAUCGAUGAGCCCACAGUGUGUGAGUGUGGCUCGGCCUAUGCAUUCUCAUACCUGUUUUUGUAAAACAAAAAGCCAAUAAAAUGGAAAGUGCAAGUAUAA